ensembl:lincRNA 2610037D02Rik RIKEN cDNA 2610037D02 gene
AAGGAGCAAAUUAACUUAGGUGAAGACUGGGCACGUCAGCUCAAUUUGAGAUUUUGGGUUACUGUAAGGUCUACAGAAAUGAUUUGGUUGGUUGAAGACUUUUGUAGUUAAAUUGGCAUUUCUUUGAAGAUGACGUUAAGAACUCUUAGUGAGCUGAGAGAAUGCUUUUGUGGCUUGCUGCUUUUGUUGGGAUCUGCUGCGGUUGUACCUGUGUGCCAACUUGUCUCUCUGAAAAUUUGAUCACAACUUCGAAUAACAGAGGUGUCCUUUCCCUUCUGGUGGUGAGUCUUGGCAGAAUGAAUAACGUUUUUUUUAAAGGAAAGGAGGAAAAGAGCUAUUCUGCAGAGUAGGACAGCGCUAAUGUAGACAGGCGCUCUCGGCUCUUCAGUUGCCAGCUUUCCAGGUGAUUUGACACAAAAGGAUCUGGCUGAUGCAAGGCCCCAUUACUGAAGUUCUGAAUCUUACAUAUCUCACUGACCGUGGAAAAGUUAACCUGGUGCCUAACUCGAGCCUUUACCCCCGGUGACUAGUGUUCAUGGAACUGGAUGGUAUCCUGGUACUCAGCAUGCCACCAGCGGAGAAAGCCUUUGGAUGAAGACAUAGAAUUCUCAGCUCCUCCUGUGCCAUGCCUGCCUGGAUUCUGCCAUGCUCCCACCUUGAUGAUAAUGGACUGAACCUCUGAACCUGGUCCUGUUUGCAAUGGAAACUUGAGUGUUCUUGGGCAAGCCAGUUGUGUUUGUUACUUGUGUGCCGGGGCAAACAAGUAAAGGAGUGUUUUCCUGAAGUGGAUACAGGUGAAAGACUAAGGCAGACUCGUGAAGGAACACUGCUUUGAAGAAGACACAGGAGAAAGGAUGUUCUGCUAAAGCAAGCCCGUGAAAGGACAUGUGAUGAAGGAUUCUUUGUUAAUGACACACAUGUAUUGGUGUGCCUUACACUGUAAUUGAGCUCCAUUUACUUGUUGGGACUCCAUAACUUCUGGUGCAGUGCUGUAGUUUCUUGCCUCGUCUGUGGACUGGGGCUGUUUGGCAGAGUGAUGUCAGCUGAGACAGACUCAUGUGUUGAGGCAAGACAGGUGGAGGUCGUGUGAUGAUUGAUGGCUUGCUGGUACAGCUAGCUGUGCAAUGUUUGUGGGUCUCUUAUCUUCACUGAUCUUUGCUUUCCUGAGAAAGGCACAGCCAAGAACUUCUCCUGACACUCCUCUGCGUCCCUCCUGCUAACUUGAGCUGAGGCUGAGGCCUGGCUGUCUCUGCUAGGGCAUGUCACUGCUGUUGCUAACCUGACCCUACCAAAGUGGACUGCUGGUAUAUUCAUGAAGUAUUUGCAAGUGGAUGGAGCUGCCGCUGCCUGCUAACCUAUGAGCUGAACUGCUGAUUUCCAUACAACGCAGACUGGAAUUGCUCCAAAGAACCUUUCUAAACAGGUCAUUCAGUAACUCCAAGAGUCGAUCUGCACUGAGUGGGGUCGGGCUAGGCCAACAAGAAGCCAACUAUCCUGUGAGGAGUGCGGUGGAACCUCAGGUGGCUCUUUGGGAGAGAAGAUCUCUUCCCACCUGUUACAGCUCUUGGAACAAAAGACUCAGAGAUGGAGUAGUACUUGCACACAGGGUUCGACAGCAGUAUUUUCUUUAUCCCUGUUUGCACGGAGCAGCCUGACUCCCUGCAUUUUCCGACCAGGAAUUCUUGCCAGGUCAGUAGGUGUGGGAAGGGCCAGGAUGGCAGACUGGAAGCUACUUGAAGCUGUAUACCCUUAACCGGGUUUGAAAAAAUGGGGAUGACCUUUCUGCGGGGACAGCACACACAUGGAGCAAGACAGCUGCCGGGCAGACACGUGAAGGAAUGUUCAGACACACACAUGCUCCAAAAGAGAUGUUCCUGGGAACAAUGAGAUGCUUGUUUCAACUGAAAUUAACUGAGAGAGGAAAGAGGGUGCCCAGCACCCGCUCCGGGUGUGUUGAAAGAAGCGCUGGUGUGGAGCUGGAGGGCAGGCAAACAGCCUGCUGUGUGAAGCCUUGCAUCCGUCAACAAAUUUAUUCAUUCCCUUUGGCCCAUGCUGUUCCAAGCACCUCACUUGAAGAAGUAGCUGGAGAUGUAAAUAAUUGUGAGCGCUAAAAAGAGGUUUAUAGUCUGUUGUCCUUCACUGUGUUUAAUACGUCAAAUGUCUGACGGUAGUGGCCAAGUGAAUGGCCACUUGCUGCUGCAGUUGUCAUCUGCAGCCAUUGCAACUUAAAAAUCGACAGAGCUUAUAAACUGCAAAUACUGAUAUAACCGUGUUUAGCAACAUAAACAUUUGUAUCAAUUAUGUGGAAAAAUGCAAAAAAAAGGGUUGAAGGUAAUGUGUCAAUAUGUAACAGUUGUGCGUGCUUGGGUUAUAGACAUUUUUCUUUAAAAAAAAACUUUUUCUUAGUAAUCGUUUUAAGUUUUCCAAAUAAAUUAAAAAUAUAUAAAUG